rnacentral:rRNA from 1 species
UACGGAGGGGGCAAGCGUUAUCCGGAAUCAUUGGGCGUAAAGCGUACCGAUAGGUGGUUUAGAAAGUUUUGGGUAAAAGCCAGAAGCUCAACUUCUGAGUUUGCUCAAAAUACUUCUCAACUAGAGGGGCAAAGAGGUCCUUGGAACGAACGGUGUAGUAGUGAAAUGCGUUGAUAUCGUUCGGAACACCGAAAGCGAAGGCAGAGGACGGGGUGCCACCUGACACUACUAGGACGAAAGCGUGGGGAGCGAAUGGG